UACGUAGGGGGCGAGCGUUGUCCGGAGUUACUGGGCGUAAAGGGCAUGCAGGCGGUUGUGCGCGGGUGCUGUGACAGCGCCUCGCUUAACGAGGCGAGCAUAGCACAGACGGCAUGACUUGAGGGCGCGAGAGGGACACGGAAUUCCGGGUGGAGUGGUGAAAUGCGUAGAGAUCCGGAGGAACACCGAAGGCGAAGGCAGUGUCCUGGCGCGUGCACCUGACGCUGAGGUGCGAAAGCCAGGGGAGCGAACGGG
rnacentral:rRNA from 1 species